rnacentral:tRNA from 1 species
CGCGCAUGGUGGAUUUACAAUCCACUGCCUUGAUCCACUUGGCUACAUCCGC